rnacentral:rRNA from 1 species
AGAGUUUGAUCAUGGCUCAGAUUGAACGCUGGCGGCAGGCCUAACACAUGCAAGUCGAACGGUAACAGGAAGCAGCUUGCUGCUUCGCUGACGAGUGGCGGACGGGUGAGUAAUGUCUGGGAAGCUGCCUGAUGGAGGGGGAUAACUACUGGAAACGGUAGCUAAUACCGCAUAAUGUCGCAAGACCAAAGAGGGGGACCUUCGGGCCUCUUGCCAUCGGAUGUGCCCAGAUGGGAUUAGCUUGUUGGUGGGGUAACGGCUCACCAAGGCGACGAUCCCUAGCUGGUCUGAGAGGAUGACCAGCCACACUGGAACUGAGACACGGUCCAGACUCCUGCGGGAGGCAGCAGUGGGGAAUAUUGCACAAUGGGCGCAAGCCUGAUGCAGCCAUGCCGCGUGUAUGAAGAAGGCCUUCGGGUUGUAAAGUACUUUCAGCGGGGAGGAAGGGAGUAAAGUUAAUACCUUUGCUCAUUGACGUUACCCGCAGAAGAAGCACCGGCUAACUCCGUGCCAGCAGCCGCGGUAAUACGGAGGGUGCAAGCGUUAAUCGGAAUUACUGGGCGUAAAGCGCACGCAGGCGGUUUGUUAAGUCAGAUGUGAAAUCCCCGGGCUCAACCUGGGAACUGCAUCUGAUACUGGCAAGCUUGAGUCUCGUAGAGGGGGGUAGAAUUCCAGGUGUAGCGGUGAAAUGCGUAGAGAUCUGGAGGAAUACCGGUGGCGAAGGCGGCCCCCUGGACGAAGACUGACGCUCAGGUGCGAAAGCGUGGGGAGCAAACAGGAUUAGAUACCCUGGUAGUCCACGCCGUAAACGAUGUCGACUUGGAGGUUGUGCCCUUGAGGCGUGGCUUCCGGAGCUAACGCGUUAAGUCGACCGCCUGGGGAGUACGGCCGCAAGGUUAAAACUCAAAUGAAUUGACGGGGGCCCGCACAAGCGGUGGAGCAUGUGGUUUAAUUCGAUGCAACGCGAAGAACCUUACCUGGUCUUGACAUCCACGGAAGUUUUCAGAGAUGAGAAUGUGCCUUCGGGAACCGUGAGACAGGUGCUGCAUGGCUGUCGUCAGCUCGUGUUGUGAAAUGUUGGGUUAAGUCCCGCAACGAGCGCAACCCUUAUCCUUUGUUGCCAGCGGUCCGGCCGGGAACUCAAAGGAGACUGCCAGUGAUAAACUGGAGGAAGGUGGGGAUGACGUCAAGUCAUCAUGGCCCUUACGACCAGGGCUACACACGUGCUACAAUGGCGCAUACAAAGAGAAGCGACCUCGCGAGAGCAAGCGGACCUCAUAAAGUGCGUCGUAGUCCGGAUUGGAGUCUGCAACUCGACUCCAUGAAGUCGGAAUCGCUAGUAAUCGUGGAUCAGAAUGCCACGGUGAAUACGUUCCCGGGCCUUGUACACACCGCCCGUCACACCAUGGGAGUGGGUUGCAAAAGAAGUAGGUAGCUUAACCUUCGGGAGGGCGCUUACCACUUUGUGAUUCAUGACUGGGGUGAAGUCGGAACAAGGUAACCGUAGGGGACCUGCGGUUG